AUUGAACGCUGGCGGCAGGCUUAACACAUGCAAGUCGAGCGAGCGGCGGACGGGUGAGUAAUGUAUGGGGUCUGCCCGAUAGAGGGGGAUAACUACUGGAAACGGUAGCGAAUACCAUAUCUUAUCGGAUAACCUAUAUGGGAUUAGCUUGUCGGUGGGGUAAUGGCUCACCUAGGCGACGAUCCUUAGCUGGUCUGAGAGGAUGAUCCGCCACACUGGGACUGAGACACGGCCCAUACUCCUACGGAGGCAGCAGUGGGGAAUAUUGCACAAUGGGCGCAAGCCUGAUGCAGCCAUGCCGCGUGUAUGAAGAAGGCCCUAGGGUUGUAAAGUACUUUCAGUCGGGAGGCGUUACCGACAGAAGAAGCACCGGCUAACUCCGUGCCAGCAGCCGCGGUAAUAC
rnacentral:rRNA from 1 species